rnacentral:rRNA from 1 species
AUUGAACGCUGGCGGCAGGCCUAACACAUGCAAGUCGAGCGAGUGGCGAACGGGUGAGUAACACGUGGGGACCUGCCCUGCACUUCGGGAUAAGCCUGGGAAACUGGGUCUAAUACAGGAUAGUGUGGGAUGGGCCCGCGGUGCAUUAGCGAGUUGGUGAGGUAACGGCUCACCUAGGCGACGAGCUCUAGCUGGUCUGAGAGGAUGAUCAGCCACACUGGGACUGAGACACGGCCCAGACUCCUACGGGAGGCAGCAGUGGGGAAUAUUGCACAAUGGGCGCAAGCCUGAUGCAGCCAUGCCGCGUGUAUGAAGAAGGCCUUAGGGUUGUAAAGUACUUUCAGCGGGGAGGCGUUACCCGCAGAAGAAGCACCGGCUAACUCCGUGCCAGCAGCCGCGGUAAUAC